AGGUGCGAUCAUAACAGCACUAAUGCACCGGAUCCCAUCAGAACUCCGCAGUUAAGCCUGCUUGGGCGAGAGUAGUACUAGGAUGGGUGACCUCCUGGAAGUCCUCGUGUUGCACCUC
rnacentral:rRNA from 2 species